GACGAACCGUACGAACGUUAUUCGGAAUCACUGGGCUUAAAGGGUGCGUAGGCGGCUUUCUAAGUCGGGGGUGAAAUCCUGGAGCUCAACUCCAGAACUGCCUUCGAUACUGGUAGCGUUGAGUUCCGGGAGAGGUGAGUGGAACUGCGAGUGUAGAGGUGAAAUUCGUAGAUAUUCGCAAGAACACCAGUGGCGAAGGCGGCUCACUGGCCCGAUACUGACGCUGAGGUGCGAAAGCGUGGGGAGCAAACAGG
rnacentral:rRNA from 1 species